rnacentral:rRNA from 1 species
CCUACGGGUCGCAGCAGUGGGGAAUAUUGGACAAUGGGCGAAAGCCUGAUCCAGCCAUGCCGCGUGUGUGAAGAAGGCCUUCGGGUUGUAAAGCACUUUCAGUGGGGAAGAAAGCCUUGGGGCUAAUACCCUCGAGGAAGGCCAUCACCCACAGAAGAAGCACCGGCUAACUCCGUGCCCGCAGCGCGGUAAUACGGAGGGUGCGAGCGUUAAUCGGAAUUACUGGGCGUAAAGCGCGCGUAGGCGGUUGAUAAGCCGGUUGUGAAAGCCCCGGGCUCAACCUGGGAACGGCAUCCGGAACUGUCAGGCUAGAGUGCAGGAGAGGAAGGUAGAAUUCCCGGUGUAGAGGUGAAAUGCGUAGAGAUCGGGAGGAAUACCAGUGGCGAAGGCGGCCUUCUGGACUGACACUGACGCUGAGGUGCGAAAGCGUGGGUAGCAAACAGGAUUAGAUACCCCAGUAGUC